rnacentral:lncRNA from 1 species
AGAAAAACCCAAUUAGCAGGCUAAUUGGCCUAUUAUUAAUAAUCCAUUUAUUAAUCUAAUUGACAUUUCAUAUUAAGCACACAAUAUAUUUCAUUUUCGUAUUAAGGAAGUAGGAUUCCAUAAUUGAAAUACAUCAGAGCACAACAUCAUAUAGCUUCAGCACUCAACUACCCCAUUACACAAUUGCACCAGCACCAAGUUUCACACGCAACAUCUAUAACCUUUGAAAAUUAGCAUCAUAGACGGUACAUAGACAGAUGAAUCUCAUCCAGAAAACUGCUGAAGCGGAAGGCGAAUAUUGAGCCUUCAUUGAUGUUGAAGGUCUUUGCAACUUUAGGCCAGUGCCUGUGGAUGAUUGACCGUGAAUCCUUCAUCCUCUUCAAGAAUACUUCAAUAUUGAACCGUGGGUGUUGUAUGAAUACCUUCCUCACCUCCUAAUCAUAUAGGUGGUUUGAGAGGUAAUCAUCAGUGAACUGCUUUGGAAAGGUCUGAAAACAAGGAUAUGGAUAAAUAUCUUCUCUAGAUUUGAAAUGGCGCAAAGGAAUAAAAAAGAUAAGGUAUAACAGUUAGUAGCAUCCUGUAGUGAACUGAUGUCUUCUUCAUUGUGCAGACAAAGACCUUGUUGUUUUUGGUCGCUAAGUUCUUUAUCCUAACAAUCUUUCUGAGUUUCUUGACUUGAAUGAUAUUCAUGGACAACUCAUUUCCCCAUAUACAAAAAGGGUCAAACAGUGGGUCAAAACCUCUGGCAGCAGGACUUACAUGUGCAAAACCAAAUUGUUAAAAACCUAAAUAUUAGAAUGGUUCUUGCAAUUGCACAAUAAUGUGCUAUUAGACAAAGGACCAUGCAUGUGCAAACCUCGAUUGUAAACCAUAGUGCUUCCCAUUGUUUCCUUGCAACACAUAUAAGGUAGUUAGUGAUCAGGUUAAGUGAGGGUUGGCAUGCUAUUAGUAAAAAAUGUUGAUGAAAAAUAAACACAUUGCAGAUUCAUCAGAUUAAUUCGAGCCACAUGAAAAACCAAUUUAUCCAAACCAAGCAUGAUUAAGAACUAAAAUAUAGCAAUUUUAUAUGUUUCUCAUGUAUUAAGUGCAUCCAAAUUUGAUUUAUUCCUCACAUGCAUAACAAUAUAAAUUGCUACCACAACAAUUGGACAUCACACUACAGAAUUGAACCAAGCAGUUAAGUAAACACCACAACAAAUGAACCAAAUGUUAACUAAGCACUACAUUGCACAAUGUAACAUACUCCUAAUAGAAGAUCAGACAGUUAACCAAACCAAGCAUGCUUAACAACUUGGAAAUAUAGCAAUUGUAUUUGUUUCUCAUGUAUUUAGUACAACGAAAUUUGAUUUAUUUCUCACAUGGUAUACAGUAACAAAAUGCACCCACAACAAUUGAACAUCGCAUUGCAUAAUUGAACCAAACAGUUAACUAAACACCACAACUAAUGAACCAAACAUUAACUUAGCACCACAUUGCACAAUAUAUAACAUACUAGAAGAUCAGACAUUUAACCAAACCAAGCAUGCUUGACAACUUGGAAAUAUAGCAAUUGUAUUUGUUUCUCAUGUAUUUUGUAUAGAUAAGUUCGAUUUAUAUCUCACAUGGAAGACAAUACAAAAUUGCACCCUAAAGAAUUGAACAUCACAUUGCAAAAUUGAACCAAGUAGUUAACUAAACAAGACAACUAAUUAACCAAACAGUUAAUAAGUGAGCACCACAUUGCACAGAAUAUAGAACAUAUACGCUAGAGCAAUAGAUUACAUGGUAAAAGUAGAUAGGACAAUUCACUAGAAUUUGUUAAGGAAAGGCAGGAGCAGCACAUGCAACGGGUAAACCGAGCAUGCUUAACUGGCUUAGCUAGCUAACUAAACAUAGGUCCUUAUAGUGAGCUAACAAGACAUGCUACUCCUCAUCAUUGGAGAUAUCAAUGAUGAUUGGCUCCUUGGACAUGGAAGAGGGUGAGGCCUCCACAUCGUGGGUGCCCUCCUCGUAGUGGUGAGUUGCCUGAGCCGCUCUGGGCACCAACCUGCUGGCUCUCAAGUUGAGGUAAGCACGGGCCCAUAGAUAAAACACCUUGUAAUCUUCAUCGAAGGCAUGACGCUGGCCUCGAGAAAAUGCCACGAACUGUCAUUUAAAGUAGUCAACCGCGUUUCGGUGUCAGCGCGCGAGGCGUCGAUGGUGGCCUCGACGGCGAGGUGUUCCUCCAAGAUCUGGGUGUCGACACGAAUAGCAGCCAUCGUGACCUCAUCCGCACGUGCGGCAACGAUUUGAUUCUCUGCUGCCAAAUGCUCCUAGAGCUCUUGGCUAUACUACCAGCACCAUGGCUUAGGGCGGCGCUUAUUUGGGGAGGGGUCGGUGAUUUGGGUGGAAGGUGUCGCGCCGGCGGUCGGGGCAUGUGGGAUGUGGAAGGAGGAGUGAUACGUGUCCAACGUAUCUAUAAUUUAUGAAGUAUUCAUGCCAUAUUUACAACAAUUUUAUAUGUUUUUGUUUAUUUGCAUGGAACUAACCCGGACUGACGCUAUUUUCAGCAGAACUACCAUGGUGUUGUUUUUUGUGCAGAAAUAAAUGUUCUCCAAAUGAGCUGAAACUUUUUGUCAAUUUUUUUGGAACAAAAGAGGCACUAGAAGCUUCGUGGGAGGGCCAGAAGAGCCAUAAGGAGGGCACAACCCAUCAGGGCAUGCUAGAGGGGCCUGGCUUGCCCCAGUGGGUUGUGCUCACCUCGAGGCCCAUCUUCGCGUGAAACCAACGCCAAAAAAAUCCUAGAACUAGAGAAACCAUCAGAAAUUAAUCUAGAUCAUAAGUUCAGCCGCUGCAAGCCUCUGUAGCUAGGAAAAACCAAUCUUGACCCCAAUUCGGCACGCUGCCGGAGGGGGAAAUCAUCACCGGUGGCCAUUUUUAGCAUCCCAGCGGCCACCAUGAUGAGGAGGGAGUAGCCUACCCUUGGGGCUGAGGGUUUGCACCAGUAGCUAUGUGUUUAAUCUCUCUCUCUCUCUCAUGUUCUUGAGAUGUCACGAUCUUGAUAUAUUGCAGGCUUUGUUAAUAUAGUUGGAUCAUAUGGUGUUUUCCCCUCUCUAUGUUGUUGUGAAUUGAGUUUUCCCUUUGAGAUUUCUUUCUUAUCGGAUUGAAUACUUUUAUGGAUUUGAGAACACUUUAUGUAUGUCUUGCUAUGAAUACCCGUGGUGACAAUGGGGUAUCAUAUUAAUCCACUUGAUACAUGUUUUGGCACUCAACUCGCAGAUUCCCGAGGUGACAUUGGGGUAAUCUAUGCAUAGGGGUUGAUGCGCGUUCUUGUCUUUGUUUUUCCUAUAGAAAUCUUGGGGCACUCUUUGAGGUUAUUUGUGUUGGAUUGAGUAUUAUGAAUUUGAAAUUAUUUGGUGUUAUCUUAGUACGAACUCUUGAUAGAUCGAUCGAAAAGGAUAACUUGGUGUUAUUUUAGUAUGAACUCUUGAUAGAUGGAUCGGGAAGGAUAACUUGGUGUUAUUUUAGUACGAGCUCUUGGAUAGAUUGAUCGAAAAGAAUUGCUUCGAGGUGGUUUCAUACCCUACCAACAAUUUCAUCUUAUGUUCUGUGCUAGAUAGGAACUAUGGAGUGAUUCUUCAGCGCACAUUGAGGGAUGGUUAUAUGAUCCAACUAGAUCGUUGAUGGCGCGCGUUGCCGCACCCAUCUGUUUUGACAAUAUAAUAUGUGAACAUGAAGUAUCAAAGUCCAUGCUAAAAAAAUCUGCAUUGGUAACUGAAGAAUAUUCUAAAAAAUGGUAACUGAGUUGAAAUCUUCUAUUGGAAAUGUAUAUUAUCUAUAAAAGGUAUAGCAAAAUAGGAAGAGACACAAUUCCAACUUUGGUUAGUCGAAAUAGUUAAGUUUCAUUGAUGCUAUGUAAAAUAGCAAAAACAAUUGAAAAAGUAGUUCUAGGUGGACGUGUCUAUGCUGUAGCAAGCUGUAUCGAAAUAGGUAUGAGUGUUUAUGGAAACCACUCAUGUCCAUUAAGAACAAUUUUCAUGAAUCAGAUAGUAAGGACCCUGGGUAUUACAUUUCCAAAUUGUGCGGCAAAAGAUUAAAGAAUGUGUUAAAAAAUAACAGUUUGAAUGUGUUAAAGCACUGCUAAACAAUAAUCUCAAAAGCAUUCAAUGUCUUCGUGUAUCUUUUAUGUAUUCUUUUUACAUGCAUGACUAACAUUUCAUUUGUAAAUAAAACACUUCAACAAUAAUAUCUCAGACUCAUCUAUUGGUGAGCCAUAGUGAUGCAGAUAAAUAUGUAAUCAAGACGGUCAGAGGAGACCCAAAAUUAUGUCAAGAUACUAAGUAGGAUAUAGUCCAACCGUCUAAGGCAAAAUCAUGAAACCACAACUAAAUUAGAGAAUUAGAUGAUCAGAUCUAAAAGCAGGCACCAGAAUUCUAAUGCAAAUAUUAUUUACUUGAAGAACUUAUCUAUGCCAAGAGGACAAUUAUAGGUGGCAACAUGGAAAUAAAAUGUAGGCUGACCGAGCAAACCAGAUAUAACUAACCUUGAAUGUCUUUGCAUCUUUAUUAAGAUAAGAUCUCCAACAAUGGAAGGAAACUAUUGUUCGGGCAGAUUCAUGCAAGUUUUUAGCAUCUGGCCCAUACAAAAAAAUAACAUUUGAAGUUGUAUUUGAUAUGAAAACAAUAUGGCCAAUUGAAAAGGGCGACAGAAGCAAGGGAAAAAGGCUCUCUUAGUAUGUUGUUGGAGCUAUCCUAGUGGUAAACGAUGCUUUAGGUGCUAAACUAAUUCCUGAAAUUUCAUGCAAGAAGAAUCAGCAAGUUUUCUAGGCGGUCCAUGUUAAUGGUAAUUUUGUAUUGAAAAAGGCAUAUGGCUUUGCAGAACUAUUUCCAUCACAUGAUCAAAAUAACUUUGUCGUCGUUGUAUCAACAUCUAUUGUGUCCAAAAUGCUUCAGUCAGACUGCCCAAACACACUGAUGCUAUGCCGCUGUACCACAUUUUUACAACAACUUGAUUUUUCUCAAAAAAUUCAAGAACAUGUUUAUGAAGAUAAAGGGACAAAUAUAUGAAUUAACGCUCUAGGAGGGAAGUGGCAUAAACUAAAUAAUCUAACCACACAUAUAAUGCGAGUAAACCCCAAUAAAAACAUCAUCGGGUUUGAUGGUUAGCCGGGAACCUUGCAAAUUCCUUCCCAAAAAUAAAAUGAAAAGUCUGGUACUCUAGUUUAGUUUACCCGAGAGACCAUGCUAGUGCUAGUACCAUACAGAGUCAUACUCUUCCCAUUAUAGUGAUGGUAGAAUUAGUCUACAAAAUAAAAAAGAAUACAAGUCAAUACGUAUUUAUGAAUCAAGAGGGCAGGAUAAAACAAGCUUCAACCAUGAGUUGUGGGACUUGUUGAAUGGCUUGCACCAAUAUAUCAAUGUUGUUACACCCUACAAAAAGCAUGAAAGUUGACUUGCAUGAGCAUCAUGGAGAGGCCGUACAUAAUGACCUUGGAGGGGCUCUUCUCCGGGCACACCAUGGUUUUGGCCACAUAAACUCUAUAAUCAGAGCACCAAAUCUUAAUCACCAAAAUCUACUUCUUUUACAAACUCCAUCUGAAGGUAAUGUUUCCGCUCACCUGUUUCCUCCAUAGACUGCAACCACAUCACUACGCACGAGCGGCAGCGAGAGAAGAGAGAGGAUAGGACGGCAAGUACGUCCCGCCAUGGGAGGUGGGAUGUCAAUAUCGCCUGAAGCUGCCAUGAACACGAGGUGUCGCCAUAGAUCUCCUCGCAUGCGCAUCGCCUGACGGCUGGAUCAACC